GAGCUGGAAGGGAACCCAGCGACUGAUUCCGAAAGGGACAAAAGCCUCCCAUGGAGGAGAGACGGCAAAGCUCCCGAUUCCGUGUCAGGCUGUGUCCUUGAGGAAGGCUGACGCGUCCUUCGAGAUGCCAAGAGGCCAAAGUUCUUCCGAAGCAGGAGGCCUUCACACUGUGUGUCUCCCAGAUUGCGUGGUACCAAGCUGGCAGGGUCCUCAGGGGGCCCCAGCAGAGAGAGGCCCCCAAGGAGGGGCUGUGCUGGUCGGGGUGGGGAGCCCUGCGGACAAGCCCACAGGGUGCCGUGCGGGGCGCCCUUGGCCUCACCGGAGCAGCCCGCCCUCCACCCAGGGGUGUACCCGCAAGUUCCCAAGAAUGACGCGAGUCGAGCAAGGGCUUCUGUCUAGGAUUCUCUUUUACAGAGAAGAAGACAAAGAUCCCCCAGGAUCAGCCUCACCCUCCUGGAGAAGAGCCAAGACUCAGCCCUUUCCACCCGGCCAUGCGGUUCCCGGGAUGACAGCGACCUGGGCCCGGGAGCACAGAGGCGGGCACAGCGCCCGAGGUCUCGGGGGACACUCAGGCCAAGGGGGGGCAAAGGUGGUUGGGGGGGGUCUGUUUUACUUUUUCUCUGCUUAUUCCUCUUUCUAUUCCUGGCAACAGGGUCGGUGGGAUCCUGGUCCCCCAAAGAUGCCCACACCCGCAUUCUCUGGAGCCUGUGGCCAUGUCCAGGGGCAAGGGAGACCUUUCAGAGGGGUUGAGGUUAACAGAGGAUGACCCCAAGCCAGCGGGGCGGGGGAUCUCACCUCCUGGGCCCUUUAAAGUAGAAAUGUCCCCUGCAUGGAGGCAGGAAAGCUGGAGACAUUUGAAGCAUGCGAGGCAUGUGACUGGCUGUCCUGGUGGCAGGGGCGCACAGGGACAGCAGGAGGUGUCCCUGCAGGGGCGUGGUCAGCCCUGGGCCAACAGCCUGCAGGAACCGGGACCUCAGUCCUACAACCUGAGGAUCUGAACUCCGCUAGCAACAGGGGUGGGCUUGGAAGUGGUUCGUGUUAAGAGCCCCCAGAGCGGGGGCAGCCCUGUGAAGAUUUUGAUUUCGGCUGGUGAGCCUCUGGGCCGAGGACCUGGUCCAGCCACUGGCCCUGGACUUCUGACCACAGAACGUCGGGAAGAUACAUUGGGUGGUCUUAAGCUGCCAAGUCUGCAAUAUCAGAUGUUAUCACAGCAGCGAUAGGAACGAGUUCAGAUACGAUUUAUGUUUAUUUUACUUCUCAGGAAGUAUGUCUGAAUGAUACGUAAUGAAAGGAACUCAGUAGAUGCUACAGGGACCAGAGAGGCCCCAUUACAACAUCCAGCCUGAGAGCUCCCUGGUGGCCUAGUGGGUUAAGGAUCCAGGGUUGUCACGGCUGUGGCUUGGGUCACUGCCAUAGCAUGGGUUCGAUCCCUGGGCCAAGGAACUUCCACAUACUGAGGGCGCGGCUAAAAAAAGAAAAAAUAUAUAUAUCCAGGUUGAGCCUUGCCUCCUGAAAAACCAAGCAGUAAAAGAGAAUUCACUUUUCCGGGAGGAAGGAAGCCAUGGUCAUUGCAAGAACUUACAGAGAAGAGAAUGCCUAGAAGUUAAUCUUUUUAAAUUAAGCACUUCCGUACAGAAAUGUGGGGGCAAGAUGAGCAAACUCCCCUUCAUGCUGGUGACAGUGACAAGAACAGCAGGACAUAUUCACACAGCGCCCGGGCAUAAGGCACAGGAAGUUCCCGUCAUGGCGCAGUGGAAAUGAAUCUGACGAGCAUCCAGGGGGACGCAGGUUCCGUCCCUGGCCUUGCUCAGUGGGUUAAGGAUCUGGUGUUGCAUUGCAGACGCAGUGGUGGUGUACCUUGGUGUACAUUGCAGACGCAGCUCGGAUCCCAUGUUCCUGUGUCUGUGGUGCAGGCUGGCAGCUACAGCUCUGCUUAGAUCCCUAGCCUGGGAACUUUCAUAUGCUGUGGCUGCGGCCCUAAAAAGACCAAAAAAAAAAAAAAAAUUCUAUAACUUCACAAGGGUGUCCCCGGGCCUCAGAGAGAGCCAGGCAGGUCCCCACAUCACAAACAUGGAUUGAAACCCUUCCAGGCUGGUGGCGCCUGCGUGCAGCACAGUCUCAGUCUUGGGGCAGUGGAGAAUCCCCGGUGACAGGGUCCUGGGCAGCCCCUCUCCUCACUGCUUCCCAGCCUCCCUUCACACCCCAACUUCUUCCAGCUGCUGAGGGAACUUCAGUGGCUCCCCAAGGGCGCCCCCUCCCCAGGCCCAGGUGCUCACACCCCCCUGGGGCUUCGAACCCAGGUCAGCCCAGCCACCCCUUCCUGCCCAGGGCCUUCUCCUGUCCUGCUGGCCUCCCUCCUCCAAAGCGGUUCCCAGUGGCACCAGGCGCUUCCCCACCGAGCACGUCCCACACCGUGAAACUCGCACCACACCCGCCCUGGGGCCCUUCUGCCUCCCAGCCCACCAACCUCUGCUGGCUCCUUGGGAGGCUCUCCCUUUGCCUCUGGGGCACCGGCCGGGUGCUGGACCGGCAGCAGGAGCUGCUCACUGUCACACAAGGGGAUGGUCACCUUGGAACAAAAACGCUGAGGCAGGCCCCUCCCGCCUCUCCAGCCACAAGUCGCUGUAGAAACCUGCAAGGACACCAACUCCGACACCCACACCUGCUGCCUGUGGUCACACAUUCACUCUGUGGUCACUUGCCAGUGCUCAGACAUCCGCUUUGCAGUGAGGACGAGGUUAAAAGUGGCUCCGGAGGCUGCAGGGCUUAUAGCCCGUGUCUGUAGGGAGGUGCGCGUGGACAGGACAAGGGCUUCUAGGAGGAGGGAGAGGCCCGCCCGUGGCCUGAGGCAGCUCAGCAUCCUCUUCCCCGAAUGUUUCCAAGCCCGGUCUUGCAAGAGCAGGGCGAGAUUGCCUGUCCUGCCCCCUGCGGCUGGGCCAGGUCUUGGACCAGCCCUGGUCAGGAGCUCUGAGCAGAGCCGCUGAGCCUUUUCUGGGCUGAGGUUUAAGAGGCGGGACCAGACCUCCCGAAGAGCCUUCUUGUCUUGUGCACAAGAAUCAGCAACUUUCAGGAUUCUAGUUCCCAUCAAACUGGUCCUCGGGAGAUUGCGAUGAGCUCAGCUUAGCAGGUGACCCUGGAUGGAGAUUCAGGAUGAGAAGGAAAUAACUCUACUUUUAAACUGCUGACAUUUCAGGAUUGUUUGUCAAU
rnacentral:lncRNA from 1 species